rnacentral:lncRNA from 1 species
ACCUUGACUUUUGAGUUCUGCAAUGUCUGGAGCUGACUUAUGGUCUAUUGAUGGUUGGUAUGGUUUCCCACCAUUUAGUGGUAGUGGGGUUCCCCUGGGAAAAGUUGGAGGGUGGGCAUGGUACAUCUCUGGGCCCUCAACUCCUCUGCACAAACUGCCCCAUAUGCAUUGACCCUAGGCUUGGGCUGCAUUUCUGGGUGUUUCAAAGUGGCAUGUGAGGGAGGUGGCAAAAAACACUGGCAUCCUUGCUUGACUUUUCCUUCAUUCAGGGAGAGGAGGGUCCAAGAGGACGUGAAUCUGAGGGGUCAUGUUUGUGGGUCUGGUGAGUUUUGUGGAACACUGGACUGCCUACAGAGAAGGCCCCCACAGUGGUUCCAUAAAAGGUGGUCCUGUCUUCUGACCAGUUCUUAUGGUCGUGGUGUUGGGCUGUGCAGGUAGGCAGGAGAUGAGAGGAGCCAGAGUCAGUCUGUAGCAAACCCGUCCAGAUGCCACUUCCGUGACACUGUGAGUGACUCCAUUCCUGAAGCCUGGCCAGAAUGGGAAUUCCCCCUUCCUGGAAUAUACAGAUACUCCUCGACUCUCAAUGGGAUCCCCUCCCGGAAGCCCACUUCAGGCUAAACGCACCAGGACUGGAAAGUGAGUCAAAAUCUCUCACCCUCUCCCACCCCGUGGCCCCUGGCUGAAGUCGGGGUCACUCUGCUGUGCUGAAAUGUGGGAGAAGUUCAGACUGCAUAUCUACCCCUGGCCUGAGGAGACAGCAAACUCAAACCGCAAGUACACUUGUUUUGUUUUUGUUGUUGUUUUGUUUUGCAUAGGGUAUCCUGUAGCUCACACUCACCAUACACUAGGUAUGUAACCAAAGGUGACCCUAAACUUCUGAUCCUCCUGCCUCCACCUCCCCAGUGCUGGAAUGACAGGUUUGUGCCACCAUACUGGGUUUCUGUUGUGCUGAGGAAAGCCUUGUGCAUGCUGGGCAGGCACUCUACCAACCAAGCCACAUCCCCAGCCCUGAAAUAGUUUCUAUUGAAUGAAUGUUGCUUAUAUACUGUGGGAGAGGAAAACAAAAUGUCAAAACUUAGUAAGACAGGAUCUGUUUGAACUUUCUUUCCUUUUUUAAGUGGGAUGGAAAAAUGGCUGAGUGGUUCACGUGAUUGCUGCCCAACUGUAAGGAAUGGACUUCAGGACCCCAGAAAUCCAUGGAAAUGCCCCAAAGGUUGGGGUCAGCCUCAGAAGGUGGAGAAGAAGGAUCCCCAGAGCAAGACUAGCCAGCCACACACCCAUCCUUGUCUCUGUGAGUGUGGCACUAUUUGGAACAGCGGGUCUGCGCAUGUGCCUGAGCUGUGUCAUCCUGGAUUGCCUAGACUGAUGACAAGUGCCCAUCUGAGAAAAGGAAGUGGAUGGUUUCAGUCUGAAAGGACCACCAUAUGGUCUCAUGCUGAGUGCUCAUUGGAUGAGACACUCCUCCACUACUCCUCUACUCCCACCGUGGUGAUGUCGAGAACAUGAAUGGAACCCUCUGAGUCUGUGAACCAGAAGAGACCCUUCCAGUGGAGAGACGCUUCAGUCAGCAAAGCACUGGCUGUGUGAGCUUGAGGAAGGGCCUGAGUUCUAUCUGCAGCUCCUAUGUACAGCAAGCCAGAAAGGUGGCGUGUGUGUAUGACACCAGCAUUAGGGAGGUGGGGAUUGGUGGAUGCUGGGGGCUCUCUGGAUAGCUUGAUUUUUGAUACAAGAUCUCUUAGCAAACCUGGAACUCAUUAUUUUGACUAGACUGGCCAGUGGAUGGGGGUCUGCUUGUGUCAAGAUCCAACACUGGGAUUACAGUCGUAUAUCACCAUAUCCAGCUUUAAAGUCGUGUUGAGGAUUUGAACUCAGGUCCUUGUG